rnacentral:RNase_P_RNA from 1 species
CGAGUUGGCCAGACAGUUGCCGCGUACGCAAGUACGGGGAGGAAAGUCCGGGCUUCAAAGAGCAGGGUACCAGGUAACGCCUGGGCGGUGUGAACCGACGACAAGUGCAACAGAGAGAAGACCGCCAAUCUUCGGAUUGGUAAGGGUGAAAGGGUGCGGUAAGAGCGCACCGUGCGGCUAGUAAUAGUCCGUAGCAAGGUAAACUCUACCCGAAGCAAGACCAAAUAGGGUCCCUUAUGGCGCUGCUCGCGUUGGGACCGGGUAGGUCGCUUGAGCCUGUGAGCGAUUGCAGGCCUAGAUGAAUAACUGUCCACGACAGGACCCGGCUUAUCGGCCAACUCACCCU